GUGCCAGCAGUCGCGGUAAUACGGAGGGUGCAAGCGUUAAUCGGAAUUACUGGGCGUAAAGCGCGCGUAGGUGGCUUGAUAAGCCGGUUGUGAAAGCCCCGGGCUCAACCUGGGAACGGCAUCCGGAACUGUCAGGCUAGAGUGCAGGAGAGGAAGGUAGAAUUCCCGGUGUAGCGGUGAAAUGCGUAGAGAUCGGGAGGAAUACCAGUGGCGAAGGCGGCCUUCUGGACUGACACUGACACUGAGGUGCGAAAGCGUGGGUAGCAAACAGGAUUAGAUACCCUGGUAGUCCACGCCGUAAACGAUGUCGACCAGCCGUUGGGUGCCUAGAGCACUUUGUGGCGAAGUUAACGCGAUAAGUCGACCGCCUGGGGAGUACGGCCGCAAGGUUAAAACUCAAAUGAAUUGACGGGGGCCCGCACAAGCGGUGGAGCAUGUGGUUUAAUUCGAUGCAACGCGAAGAACCUUACCUACCCUUGACAUCUACAGAAGCCGGAAGAGAUUCUGGUGUGCCUUCGGGAACUGUAAGACAGGUGCUGCAUGGCUGUCGUCAGCUCGUGUUGUGAAAUGUUGGGUUAAGUCCCGUAACGAGCGCAACCCUUGUCCUUAUUUGCCAGCGAGUAAUGUCGGGAACUCUAAGGAGACUGCCGGUGACAAACCGGAGGAAGGUGGGGACGACGUCAAGUCAUCAUGGCCCUUACGGGUAGGGCUACACACGUGCUACAAUGGCCGGUACAAAGGGCUGCGAGCUCGCGAGAGUCAGCGAAUCCCUUAAAGCCGGUCUCAGUCCGGAUCGGAGUCUGCAACUCGACUCCGUGAAGUCGGAAUCGCUAGUAAUCGUGAAUCAGAAUGUCACGGUGAAUACGUUCCCGGGCCUUGCACACACCGCCCGUC
rnacentral:rRNA from 1 species